UAAGUCGGUUCUUAAAUCACGUCGUGGAGCAGAGUGCCUCCUUCCAUUAUUCCCACCGUCGUAACGACCGUAUAAUUCGGUUGCGAUCGAAAUGAUUGGUUGCCGUGCCCACCUUUCCCUCCGACUUGAUCGCGACCUACCUAUUGGUUGGGGUCGACGCCGACUCCUAUCUUUCCCUCCUCUUCUCCUCCCAUCGUCCUCCUCCUUCUCCCUCCUCUUCGCCCAGCGUGAUUGAUCUUCCUUCUUCCGGGCCUCCCGGUGGUGACCACCGCCGGCCCCAUCAAGGCGCCUGCGAUCGCGUACAGAUCCAUGAUCCCCCGCGUCUCCGCCGCCCCGCCAAGUACGAGGACGUCCUCAAGGCCAAGGAUUCGACACCCUGCUCGACAUCCAGACCCAUCCCGAUCUGCUUCCGCAGGCACUCCACCAUACCCUAACUUGUCUUCUUGAUUCUUGAUUCUUCUGUUUCCGUCUGUUCCUCGGGACUGGCGCGUCGAUGAGGGUGAGAAUGUGCCCAUGAGGGGCUCUUCUUGGUCCAAUCGAUGUGCCUAUUUGGGUGACGCACGGAUGCAGACCGUCGAGAUCUGCUUGUCAUCUUGAUUCGUUAUUAUUCUGUUGCCGUCUCAUGUUUCUUGUUUCUCAUCUUGAUUCGUUAUUAUUCUGUUGCACGGAUGGAGGAACGUGUCGAUGGGGGUGGCAAUGUGCCCCUGUGGACGGUGGCUGAAGCUCUCCCCAAGACUUCUUGGGUAAAAUCAUGAUGGGAAUGCGACCCUGCGGGCAACUGAUGUCGCUACGUGCAUACAGGAUCUUGGACCUAUGGAUGUCGAUAAAGAUCGAUCGAGAUCUCAAUUGACGAAGGUGAUGUGCCGACUCUCUGUGUUCCUGAAUUCCAUAUCUUGACUAUGGUGGUUGACGUGGUGUUUCUUGUCUCGAGGGUUAUCAUGAUGGCGACGGGGAGAAGCUCUCCUAUUAUGGUGGCAUGACGAACUUUGCCUCAUAUUGAUGAUGGUAAUCAUCCUUCUAUUGGUAUAUAAUCCUACUAAAUUCUUGCUGAAAACUUUUGAGCUCAUAAAUUCUGAUGUGCUAGUCUGUAAUUUUUGCUGCAAUGUAUCUUAUAUUUCCCUUUUUAUGAUCAUCUGUUUACUCUUCUCUUGUUAGAACCUAGUGAUGUUUGAUAUGCAUACCUGCUAAAAGUAAGUCUAGUCUGAGCAGAUAAGCUAGUAUAGAAGUAAGUUUAGGUUUGAAUGUGUAAGCUAUUACAGAAGAACACAGGUGUUCAUCAUUGGUUCAUAACAGUUCGUGAUCUUCUUGUGGAGUCACUAUUGGUCUUUGAGGAGCUAAACUGUUUUAGAGGAUGUAAAUAAUUAACUUCAAAUUGUAAAAGGAGAAUGGUUUGAAGAUAUUUAAUUGUCAUUGUUUUUUAUCAACAUUUUGUGCUAAUAAUUCUUUAUCAAUGUUUUUUUAUCUAAGGAUGGCUUAGGUGUUAUUUUAAGCAUUUCCAAGUGCUUCACCUAAUUAUUAUUUGGACUCUGAACCUCUUUUUUUGAAUCAUCAAUAUUUCAGUGUGCUUUUUUGUUAAUAUUGCUUGGAUAUUUGUUUGAUCUUUUAUUGUCUUUCCAUUAGUUUAUACUUAUUUUAAUGUUGGGUUAGUGGUGCUCACACUGUGUCAACUUCCAAUUCUACUUUAUUUCUUUUCCUAGUUUCUCUUACAACAACAAUCUGUCCAACAGUUGAUAUAUAUGGCAGAACAACAGUACUUGCUAUGUUUCUGAACUUCAUAUAAGAUGUGUACCAUAAAUACUUUUCUUAUUGUUGUAUUGCUGAUCAUUGUUUGUCAGCAUACAUUUCACUAGAUUGCUAUAAAAUUCUUAAAACAACUUGAUAUCCUAAUUUUGCAAUCCAUUAGCCAUUAUUCUCUAUCCUUCUAACAACUUUAGUUAUUUACAUUUUUUGAUCUGUGUGAUUGCACACCCUAUGAACUUAUAUGAUCAACUAUAGUCCUUUGCUUAGUGAAUUUAUUGUAAACCCAUAAAAGACUACUUGAUUAAAUUCUGUCUGUAUAUAUUCCUGAUGUCAUGAAACUAAUACCAUAGUGGACCCUUCAGAUAUCUAAUUUGAGCUUCAUCUUUUUUCCUUGUUUGAGCCCUACCUACCCUAUCAUAGACACAGGACACAACCUUUGAUUUUCCCUGCAUGCUUCUUAGCUUGUAUGUUUCAUUUAGUGUGUUUACAAGUUGUUUUAGUAGGUUGAAUUUUUGUUUACAAAAUUUUGUACCUCUACAUGACUUUAGCUUAUAGAAUUUCCCAAAGUUCUUUGACAACUUUCUCGUAAUGAAUUUACCUGUAGAUGUCUCGUUCUUUGACCUCUAGGUUUCUCUAUGCUUCAUUGCUGUAUUCUAUUAUGACUUAAAUGACCAAUGCUGCUGCUUAUGUCAUUUUUUUACAAGUAUUUUCUUAUAUUAUGCAGUUCAUUUUAGUAAGGAUAUUAUUGUUACACAUAUUGCUCUUGUACAUAGUGCGUAAUAAAUAUAGGGAAAUUGUGCUUCAGGUACUAUUACCUAGAAGUAGAGCUGAUUAACGAGGAGAAGGUAAAAGGUGCCAUCUAAGCUUAUCUGAAUAUAACAUGAGUUAGAAAAUGACGACCAUAUUUUGACGAUAAAACAUUAAUGAAUUUACUAACUGAUUAUGAAGGCAUUUUUCAUCUUAGUUGCUACAAGGAUUAUAGAUAUGUUACAUCACCUAGUCAUUUUCAUGUUAGAACUAGACAAAACCAGAAUAUUCGUCUUGAAAUGAUCUUUAAUUUGGUGAAUCUUAUUGUCAAAACAAGUAAGUUUGUUCAGCAAUGGAACUCACAAUACACGCACACACACACACACAAAAAGGGAUUGUAAUGCCUGCUGUAUGCAGUGCUAUUCUUUGGGUAUUUGUGUGCUUAUGGGAAGAGAAAACCAGUUGGUAAAUAGAAAAUGCGUUUACAAAACUGUGUGCAUUUAGUUUGAAUUUACUCUACUACAAGGCUGAGGUUCUUUUCUGGGACUUGGGUUUAGUAUUGAUUUGAGGUUCUUUUCCCAGUUAAUUUGAAUUAAUUUGAGUGCUUCACAAUUUUUAUCCAGUGACCGUGCCUCCUUGAAGAAAUAAGAGUUGAUUUGCGUUCCUUUUGAUAAACUUUAGUAUAGAAUCAAAAAAUGUAAAAGAUAAAAUGUGCUAAAAUGGGCAUUACAACUAGACUACGUACAAGGCUAUCAUACGAUAGGCUCGAAAUUUUAGCAUUUUUUUCUUUGAAGAAAGAAAUGAAAGGUAAAUUAAAAUUUUUUUUGAAGCGAGUGAACAGGUUACAGGUUUCUGUGGCACCUCUUGGAAGAAGACUUCGUCGCUGGUUUUUUAAGAUCAACUUGCCAUAUCACCGUGCUUUUUACUUGAUGAGAACGCAGACACAGACUGCUCGCCAUUAAACGAUAUUUGUAACAGCGCGAUAAUUUCACCCGACCAUCGCGAGCUUUUGACACCCAAGGAAUUAUGUGUUGUAGCAAAAGCUGUUUAGUUGUU